rnacentral:rRNA from 1 species
GAUGAACGCUGGCGGCGUGCCUAACACAUGCAAGUCGAGCGAUUCUCUUCGGAGAAGAGCGGCGGACGGGUGAGUAACGCGUGGGUAACCUGCCCUGUACACACGGAUAACAUACCGAAAGGUAUGCUAAUACGAGAUAAUAUGCUUUUAUCGCAUGGGAGAAGUACCAAAGCUUCGGCGGUACAGGAUGGACCCGCGUCUGAUUAGCUAGUUGGUAAGGUAACGGCUUACCAAGGCGACGAUCAGUAGCGGACCGGAGAGGGUGAUCGGCCACAUUGGAACGGAGACACGGUCCAAACUCCUACGGGAGGCAGCAGUAGGGAAUAUUGCACAAUGGGCGAAAGCCUGAUGCAGCAACGCCGCGUGAGCGAUGAAGGCCUUCGGGUCGUAAAGCUCUGUCCUCAAGGAAGAUAAUGACGGUACUUGAGGAGGAAGCCCCGGCUAACUCCGUGCCAGCAGCCGCCGUAA